UACGAAGGGCGCAAGCGUUAUCCGGAUUUAUUGGGUUUAAAGGGUGCGUAGGCGGCGCGGUAAGUAGGGUGUGAAAUCCCUCGGCUCAACCGAGGAACUGCGCUCUAAACUACCGUGCUUGAGGGAGGUAGAGGUGAGCGGAACUUAGGGUGGAGCGGUGAAAUGCGUUGAUAUCCUAAGGAACACCGGUGGCGAAAGCGGCUCACUGGAUCUCUUCUGACGCUGAGGCACGAAAGCUAGGGUAGCGAACGGG
rnacentral:rRNA from 1 species